rnacentral:rRNA from 1 species
CCCUAUGGGGUCGCCCUUUUUGACGCCAAGCUCGGAUUGCAGAUAAUUAGCGACACGACAAGCCCUUUCGUUAAGUUGUCUGUACGUGAACCGCUUCCCGCUCGGCACAUCAUAGAGUGCCUCCCUGUCCGGAGUGAGGCGUGUCCUCCGCGUUAGAAGUUCGCCGGCAUGUUCUCCCAUUGGUUCCUCCUCAGUAUCUAACUCAGUAUCUAACCCGGUCAUUUUUUAACCCCAUGUUUUCGAAGGAGAGGCAUGAGGCCUGAAUCAUCUCUCAUUACAAAG